rnacentral:misc_RNA from 1 species
UUUUUUGUUGCCGAACGUCUCUAAUUUUUUUAUUUCUCGAUUUUAUUUGAUAUGUACAUGAGUCUACACUCGAUUUUAUCAGAUAAUAUCUUUAUGGGUUGAUUUUUGAAUCUAGUGGAAUAUUUAGGGGGGGCGCAGAAUGCUAGUUUUUUUUGCAUUGAAAUAUGUGGGGGCCUAAGACCCAUUUUUCAAGACGUCGAGCUCGAGGAGAGCUUCACGUGCAUGUAUGGUGGGUCCCGUAACUCUUUCCGGAUCGAAAGUUAUGCCCGAACGAAAUUCAGGAUCUCAAUUUCACUCGUGCUCAUCAACUAUAAUAGAAUAGAUUGUGGUUUUACUUACG